CUGUGGUGAGUCCCCUUUGUCGUCCAGAGCCCCAUUGUCAUUGCUUUUCUCCAUUGUCGAAGUUUUUCUCCUGAAAAUCGUAUUUUUUCCACAACACAACGAACAUUUAUUUUAGUGACAGUAAAAGGAAAUUGACUAAAGCGCCGAGGCCUACUUUUUUUUAUAAGAAAAUUUUAGCUAUGCGUUCGAUUCAAACGCAAAAGCCUACUGAUUAAAUUAAAAAUGAUAUAGAUAUGCAUAAUUAUUAAUGAUUUAACAAGUUAAGAAAA